rnacentral:hammerhead_ribozyme from 1 species
AUCCAGCUGACGAGUCCAAAAUAGGACGAAAUGCACAUCCUGGAU